rnacentral:rRNA from 1 species
UAGUCCACGCCGUAAACGAUGAGAACUAGAUGUCGGGGGGAUCUGCCCUUCGGUGUCGCAGCUAACGCGUUAAGUUCUCCGCCUGGGGAGUACGCCGGCAACGGUAAAACUCAAAGGAAUUGACGGGGACCCGCACAAGCAGUGGAGCAUGUGGUUUAAUUCGAAGCAACGCGCAGAACCUUACCACCACUUGACAUCACCAUCGCGAUUUCCGGAGACGGAUUUCUUCAGUUCGGCUGGAUGGAUGACAGGUGCUGCAUGGCCGUCGUCAGCUCGUGUCGUGAGAUGUUGGGUUAAGUCCCGCAACGAGCGCAACCCUCGCCUUUAGUUGCCAGCAGUUCGGCUGGGGCACUCUAGAGGAACCGCCGGUGAUAAGCCGGAGGAAGGUGGGGAUGACGUCAAGUCCUCAUGGCCCUUACGUGGUGGGCUACACACGUGCUACAAUGGUAGUGACAAUGGGUUAAUCCCAAAAAGCUAUCUCAGUUCGGAUUGUCGGCUGCAACUCGCCGGC